UUAAGCGACUAAGCGUACACGGUGGAUGCCCUGGCAGUCAGAGGCGAUGAAGGACGUGCUAAUCUGCGAUAAGCGUCGGUGAGGUGAUAUGAACCGUUAUAACCGGCGAUUUCCGAAUGGGGAAACCCAGUGUGUUUCGACACACUAUCAUUAACUGAAUCCAUAGGUUAAUGAGGCGAACCGGGGGAACUGAAACAUCUAAGUACCCCGAGGAAAAGAAAUCAACCGAGAUUCCCCCAGUAGCGGCGAGCGAACGGGGAGGAGCCCAGAGCCUGAAUCAGUGUGUGUGUUAGUGGAAGCGUCUGGAAAGGCGCGCGAUACAGGGUGACAGCCCCGUACACAAAAAUGCACAUAUUGUGAGCUCGAUGAGUAGGGCGGGACACGUGGUAUCCUGUCUGAAUAUGGGGGGACCAUCCUCCAAGGCUAAAUACUCCUGACUGACCGAUAGUGAACCAGUACCGUGAGGGAAAGGCGAAAAGAACCCCGGCGAGGGGAGUGAAAAAGAACCUGAAACCGUGUACGUACAAGCAGUGGGAGCCUCUUAAUGGGGUGACUGCGUACCUUUUGUAUAAUGGGUCAGCGACUUAUAUUCUGUAGCAAGGUUAACCGAAUAGGGGAGCCGAAGGGAAACCGAGUCUUAACUGGGCGUUAAGUUGCAGGGUAUAGACCCGAAACCCGGUGAUCUAGCCAUGGGCAGGUUGAAGGUUGGGUAACACUAACUGGAGGACCGAACCGACUAAUGUUGAAAAAUUAGCGGAUGACUUGUGGCUGGGGGUGAAAGGCCAAUCAAACCGGGAGAUAGCUGGUUCUCCCCGAAAGCUAUUUAGGUAGCGCCUCGUGAAUUCAUCUCCGGGGGUAGAGCACUGUUUCGGCAAGGGGGUCAUCCCGACUUACCAACCCGAUGCAAACUGCGAAUACCGGAGAAUGUUAUCACGGGAGACACACGGCGGGUGCUAACGUCCGUCGUGAAGAGGGAAACAACCCAGACCGCCAGCUAAGGUCCCAAAGUCAUGGUUAAGUGGGAAACGAUGUGGGAAGGCCCAGACAGCCAGGAUGUUGGCUUAGAAGCAGCCAUCAUUUAAAGAAAGCGUAAUAGCUCACUGGUCGAGUCAGCCUGCGCGGAAGAUGUAACGGGGCUAAACCAUGCACCGAAGCUGCGGCAGCGACGCUUAUGCGUUGUUGGGUAGGGGAGCGUUCUGUAAGCCUGUGAAGGUGGCCUGUGAGGGUUGCUGGAGGUAUCAGAAGUGCGAAUGCUGACAUAAGUAACGAUAAAGCGGGUGAAAAGCCCGCUCGCCGGAAGACCAAGGGUUCCUGUCCAACGUUAAUCGGGGCAGGGUGAGUCGACCCCUAAGGCGAGGCCGAAAGGCGUAGUCGAUGGGAAACAGGUUAAUAUUCCUGUACUUGGUGUUACUGCGAAGGGGGGACGGAGAAGGCUAUGUUGGCCGGGCGACGGUUGUCCCGGUUUAAGCGUGUAGGCUGGUUUUCCAGGCAAAUCCGGAAAACCAAGGCUGAGGCGUGAUGACGAGGCACUACGGUGCUGAAGCGACAAAUGCCCUGCUUCCAGGAAAAGCCUCUAAGCAUCAGGUAACAUCAAAUCGUACCCCAAACCGACACAGGUGGUCAGGUAGAGAAUACCAAGGCGCUUGAGAGAACUCGGGUGAAGGAACUAGGCAAAAUGGUGCCGUAACUUCGGGAGAAGGCACGCUGAUAUGUAGGUGAAGCGACUUGCUCGUGGAGCUGAAAUCAGUCGAAGAUACCAGCUGGCUGCAACUGUUUAUUAAAAACACAGCACUGUGCAAACACGAAAGUGGACGUAUACGGUGUGACGCCUGCCCGGUGCCGGAAGGUUAAUUGAUGGGGUUAGCGGUAACGCGAAGCUCUUGAUCGAAGCCCCGGUAAACGGCGGCCGUAACUAUAACGGUCCUAAGGUAGCGAAAUUCCUUGUCGGGUAAGUUCCGACCUGCACGAAUGGCGUAAUGAUGGCCAGGCUGUCUCCACCCGAGACUCAGUGAAAUUGAACUCGCUGUGAAGAUGCAGUGUACCCGCGGCAAGACGGAAAGACCCCGUGAACCUUUACUAUAGCUUGACACUGAACAUUGAGCCUUGAUGUGUAGGAUAGGUGGGAGGCUUUGAAGUGUGGACGCCAGUCUGCAUGGAGCCGACCUUGAAAUACCACCCUUUAAUGUUUGAUGUUCUAACGUGGGCCCCUAAUCGGGGUUGCGGACAGUGUCUGGUGGGUAGUUUGACUGGGGCGGUCUCCUCCUAAAGAGUAACGGAGGAGCACGAAGGUUGGCUAAUCCUGGUCGGACAUCAGGAGGUUAGUGCAAUGGCAUAAGCCAGCUUGACUGCGAGCGUGACGGCGCGAGCAGGUGCGAAAGCAGGUCAUAGUGAUCCGGUGGUUCUGAAUGGAAGGGCCAUCGCUCAACGGAUAAAAGGUACUCCGGGGAUAACAGGCUGAUACCGCCCAAGAGUUCAUAUCGACGGCGGUGUUUGGCACCUCGAUGUCGGCUCAUCACAUCCUGGGGCUGAAGUAGGUCCCAAGGGUAUGGCUGUUCGCCAUUUAAAGUGGUACGCGAGCUGGGUUUAGAACGUCGUGAGACAGUUCGGUCCCUAUCUGCCGUGGGCGCUGGAGAACUGAGGGGGGCUGCUCCUAGUACGAGAGGACCGGAGUGGACGCAUCACUGGUGUUCGGGUUGUCAUGCCAAUGGCACUGCCCGGUAGCUAAAUGCGGAAGAGAUAAGUGCUGAAAGCAUCUAAGCACGAAACUUGCCCCGAGAUGAGUUCUCCCUGAGACUUAGAGUCUCCUGAAGGAACGUUGAAGACGACGACGUUGAUAGGCCGGGUGUGUAAGCGCAGCGAUGCGUUGAGCUAACCGGUACUAAUGAACCGUGAGGCUUAACCUU
rnacentral:rRNA from 1 species